AGAGUUUGAUCCUGGCUCAGAUUGAACGCUGGCGGCAUGCUUUACACAUGCAAGUCGAACGGCAGCACAGGGAGCUUGCUCCCGGGUGGCGAGUGGCGCACGGGUGAGUAAUACAUCGGAACGUGUCCUGUUGUGGGGGAUAACUGGUCGAAAGGGGUGGCUAAUACCGCAUGAGACCUGAGGGUGAAAGCGGGGGAAUCGCAAGACCUCGCGCAAUUGGAGCGGCCGAUGCCCGAUUAGCUAGUUGGUGAGGUAAAGGCUCACCAAGGCGACGAUCGGUAGCUGGUCUGAGAGGACGACCAGCCACACUGGGACUGAGACACGGCCCAGACUCCUACGGGAGGCAGCAGUGGGGAAUUUUGGACAAUGGGGGCAACCCUGAUCCAGCCAUGCCGCGUGCAGGAUGAAGGCCUUCGGGUUGUAAACUGCUUUUGUCAGGGACGAAAAGGAUCGUGAUAAUACCAUGGUCUGCUGACGGUACCUGAAGAAUAAGCACCGGCUAACUACGUGCCAGCAGCCGC
rnacentral:rRNA from 1 species